UGUCCCAUGGUGUAAUGGCUAGCACUACAGGUUUUGGUUCUGUCAGUCAAGGUUCGAAUCCUUGUGGGACAA
rnacentral:tRNA from 2 species